rnacentral:rRNA from 1 species
GAUGAACGCCGGCGGCGUGCCUAAUACAUGCAAGUCGAGCGAACGGACGAGAAGCUUGCUUCUCUGAUGUUAGCGGCGGACGGGUGAGUAACACGUGGAUAACCUACCUAUAAGACUGGGAUAACUUCGGGAAACCGUAGCUAAUACCGGAUAAUAUUUUGAACCGCAUGGUUCAAAAGUGAAAGACGGUCUUGCUGUCACUUAUAGAUGGAUCCGCGCUGCAUUAGCUAGUUGGUAAGGUAACGGCUUACCAAGGCAACGAUGCAUAGCCGACCUGAGAGGGUGAUCGGCCACACUGGAACUGAGACACGGUCCAGACUCCUACGGGAGGCAGCAGUAGGGAAUCUUCCGCAAAGGGCGAAAGCCUGACGGAGCAACGCCGCGUGAGUGAUGAAGGUCUUCGGAUCGUAAAACUCUGUUAUUAGGGAAGAACAUAUGUGUAAGUAACUGUGCACAUCUUGACGGUACCUAAUCAGAAAGCCACGGCUAACUACGUG